GUGGAAGUCUAUUAAGCACUGUGUUACGUUUUCAAAGGGCUGAAUUGGAUGUCCUGUAACAGUUUGUGGUUCCAUCUGCAGACACAGUUUGCUACAACCUCUGAUAUAACUCUGGCUAUUGGGCAGUGCACAAAUGGUUGUUUUUUUCAGGUUUGCCUUUGUAAGAAAAUGCAUUACCUUUGUGAUACUGCCUGACCAAACCAAAGCAUCCGUGGCCAAGAAGUGGAAUUCUUGAGAAUGGAGGGCAGAAAGCAGCUGAACUUCCCUAACCCCAAUUCUGCAGAGCUCCAGGGGUUCUCAUGGAAGCUGGAGGACAUACAAAGUGUUCCUGGUUCGUGGGAUCUGGACAACCUUGCUCAUGCUCCAAGUAAUGAGAAGUGCCAAAGCUGUUGCUAUUAAGGAGUAAUCAAGGAAUAAAAACAAAACAUAUCUGAAGUGCUUAUUCUAGCAGUGCACCACAGCUGGGAACGUGUUGCACUUGGGUGCCCUGCAGCCUAUCAAAUGGAGACAACAGUGGCUUUUGAGAAG
rnacentral:lncRNA from 1 species